AACCUGGUUGAUGCCUGCCAGUAGUCAUAUGCGUUGUCUCAAAGAUUAAGCCAUGCAUGUCUAAGUAUAAGUUUUUUACUGCGAAACUGUGAAUGGCUCAUUAUAACAGUUAUUAUUUCCUAGCCGGUCAGUUAUUCCUUGGAUACCCAUAGUAAUUCUAGAGCUAAUACAUGCUUACAGACCCAACUUCACGGAAGGGUUGCGCUUAUUAGAUACCGAACCAACCCCGCAAGGGAUUUAGUUGAUUCAUAGUGUUCUGGCGAAUCGACUUCUAGUCGAUGAGGCUAUCAAGUUUCUGACCUAUCAGCUUCCGACGGCAGGGUAUUGGCCUACCGUGGCUUUGACGGGUAACGGAGAAUUAGGGUUCGAUUCCGGAGAGGGAGCCUGAGAAACGGCUACCACAUCUAAGGAAGGCAGCAGGCGCGUAAAUUACCCAAUCCUGACACAGGGAGGUAGUGACAAGAAAUAUCAAUAUAAGACUUUUGUGUCUUGUAAUUGGGAUGAGCGGAACUUAAAUCGCUUCUCGAGUAUCAAUUGGAGGGCAAGUCUGGUGCCAGCAGCCGCGGUAAUUCCAGCUCCAAUAGC
rnacentral:rRNA from 1 species